ACUUCGAGUCAUUUUACACAAGGCAGCACAAGAAAAUCCCAAACGGAGAAAACCCGACUACGACUGUGGUGCUGCUGUCCCUUUCAGUUCAGACGACGGUGCUGCUGUCCCUUUAAUACCAGACCUCCUUCAGCGUGGUGCCAGAGGGAGCUCCUCUGAUACACAACAACACCGUUCUCCCACGUAGCGCACAACUUCCAUCUGGUUUGAUCUCAGAUCAACAUAACUCACAUCAGCUCCAGAAAGAGUCAAUCAUUGUUGAAUCGAAGUGCGGAAGUGAGGACUGUUUUAACGUGACAGGGGAAAAGAACGCCGCUUUGUCGCCCUCUAGCGGUCAGUCCGGGGAAACGGACGCAGCUUUGACGAACUCUAGCGGCCAGUCCGGGGAAACGCAAGUUUCUUUAGAGGCAGAGAUGUAUGGAUCUGCUGGUAUCCCCGAGCUCAUCCCAUCGCACGGUCCGCCCCAGCAGAGGGGUCCGGCGGGACAGUUAAACCCGGGCCGGCCUCAGGUUAACGGACCCGAUGGAGGUCCCAAUCCCCAAAGGUUGGGGCAGAGGGCGCCGAAGCUUGGGCAGAUCGGUCGAUCAAAGAAAGUGGACUUGGACGAUGAGGACCUGGAAGACCUGAUGAAUAACAACGGACGUAGUACUGUAUCUAUAUCGCGUACGUCUUAACACCACACACGAGAUUUGGAAAAUUCCUUCCAGAGGGGAACGCCUCCGCAUCAAACACCUGGUCUCAAUGAUUUCAAGUGACUUCUCACAGUUUUUCUGAUCUAUUGAGAAAUACUUCCGGAGCCAAGGCACACAACGUGGCGAAAUAUGCUUGCAAAUUGAAGACCUGGAGUCUUUUUUUAUUGUACAUACAUAGCGCUAACCUAUUUGGUCAGACUGUGAAUGAAUUGUAACUGCGUUUCUCACUGCACACGGGUGCUGGACUGUAUCAGCACUUAGGCGAGCUGUCCAGAGUAGACAGUGUAUGUUGUGGUCAAGAUGAAGACACAGGGCUAUCCGCUAAUUCCUUUGGAGCUUCUAAAAAAAGGGCUACUAGUUGCACUAGAUAAAUUCUGAAAAGGAGCGGGAACCCCCCCAUCAGCAGCCUUCGUUUCUAUGAAGGUUACUGAAUGGCCAGGGGGUCGAUGUUUAUGGGAGCAGCGAGUGGCCGGUUAAUGUGUACCUUUUCCACUGGAGAAAAGGUAACUUUUAAUGCUUUCUUUUUGCUCUCAACCCGAGCCGUGUGAGCAACCGACUGUAACCUUAUUUAUUGUUUUUUGGAUGAAAAAUGCCUCCUCAUCUGAAAGCGUUACUUCAGGGGAAAUAAUUGAAAUCGAAUUAAGUACUGCUGAAUUUUCUUUGUUUUGUGGUGUACAUGUUUUGAGGGAAUGUUCCCUGUUUCUAUUGGAUUGGCUGUUUCUGUUUUCUUUUUUUGGGAUCCAAUGCACACUCCGGGAAUCCCUACCCAUCGCCAGGCCUGCUUAACAAAUCUAUGCAUGAAGUCUGAGUCAUGAAAAAACAACCACACGGUAACCAAGAGACAAUGCACUAGUAUUUAGAAAACAGAUUUUUCUUGUGGAGACUACUAGCUGUAUGAAAUGCUGACGCGGUGGUAUGAUGUCGCAACGAGGUCUGAGUGGCAUGGUUUUGGCUUAUUUGUGGCAUGAGGUAAUUUGCCAAAAGUAGAAUACCGCUUAACGUUUAAUUAUUUUUUUGUAUUGGUUGUGAUGGCUGUCAACCUUGCAUGACAGCUGAUUGGUUAACAGCUCUUUACAUUACUACGUUGUGACUAUUUCGAAACCACUCUGAUCUUAACACACUCAAGGUCGUUUGUGGUUCAGGAGGGUGUUAUUUUGAAGACUACCAUUUGACUCCAGCUGGUAGAAGAAUGAGAUUUAUAAUGGUUUUCGGAGGAGCAGCGCACUGACUUUAUUUUUAAAGAGGCUGGGAGGUGUGACCUUACACAAAGACCCAGUGAUGAUGAUGCCUUUUUGUGUGUGUGUGUGUGUGUGUGCGCGUUUGUGUGUAUUGAAAGUUUUGUAUUGAUCUGUGUUGACACUGACUUGUGUUUCUUUGGGCUGUCUAAAUUACCAAUUGCAUGAAAAUGUAGUUUUUGCAAUGCGUCCUGGGUAAUAAAUGAUGAUUCUUUGAGAAAUA